CCUACGGGUGGCUGCAGUGGGGGAUAUUGCACAAUGGGGGGAACCCUGAUGCAGCGACGCCGCGUGGGUGAAGGAGUGCUUCGGCAUGGAAAGCCCUAUCGGCAGGGAAGUAGCAAGACGGUACCUGACUAAGAAGCCCCGGCUAACUACGUGCCAGCAGCCGCGGUAAUACGUAGGGGGCGAGCGUUAUCCGGAUUCACUGGGUGUAAAGGGAGCGUAGACGGCCAUGCAAGCCAGGGGUGAAAGCCCGGGGCUCAACCUCGCUCCGCCGUUGAAACUGGCGUUCUUGAGUGGGCGAGAAGUAUGCGGAAUGCGUGGUGUAGCGGUGAAAUGCAUAGAUAUCACGAAGAACUCCGAUUGCGAAGGCAGCAUACCGGCGCCCAACUGACGCUGAAGCACGAAAGCGUGGGUAUCGAACAGGAUUAGAUACCCGAGUAGUC
rnacentral:rRNA from 1 species